UACUCAUAAUCAGUUUCUGAAGCUCUUUUUGUAUGUAUUGUUAGGUUUUAUUGUACACAUCCAUCAAAACAGCCAGUGUCUAUUGUAUCAUAUAAAGUCAAUGAUGGUAUUUGUGAUUGCUGUGAUGGUAGUGAUGAAUGGGAGAAAGUCAUACUUCCUGAACAUACUGUAGUCCAUGUUAACAAGCAAAAAGGAAUUCAUCAAAGCCCUUGUCCACAGCAUUGCUAUAUGUGAAGUUUUUAUUCAUUCAAGAUUCAAGAAAUUUAUAAUGCAUGUAUGUAUUGCAUGACCAUCUAAAUAUAUAUAAAUACACUACCAUGAG